UGGGGAAUUUUGGACAAUGGCCGCAAGCCUGAUCCAGCCACGCCGCGUGCAGGAUGAAGGCCUUCGGGUUGUAAACUGCAUUUGUACGGAACGAAAAGACUCCUUCUAAUAAAGGGGGUCCAUGACGGUACCGUAAGAAUAAGCACCGGCUAACUACGUGCCAGCAGCCGCGGUAAUACGUAGGGUGCAAGCGUUAAUCGGAAUUACUGGGCGUAAAGCGUGCGCAGGCGGUUAUGCAAGACAGAUGUGAAAUCCCCGGGCUCAACCUGGGAACUGCAUUUGUGACAGCAUAGCUGGAGUGCGGCAGAGGGGAAUGGAAUUCCGCGUGUAGCAGUGAAAUGCGUAGAUAUGCGGAGGAACACCGAUGGCGAAGGAAAUCCCCUGGGCCUGCACUGACGCUCAUGCACGAAAGCGUGGGGAGCAAACA
rnacentral:rRNA from 1 species